rnacentral:lncRNA from 1 species
AGAGGUGGGGCCGGGUGACUAAGAGCACUUGUCCUGGAGCCUUGCUGUCCAGGUUCAAAUCCUACAACUGUUGUGUUGCCAUCCUGCUCCCGUCCCCAGAGGCGACCGCUGAAGAGGAGGGAGCCGUUUCUCGGGCGGCCUUCAUAUACAGCAUCGAUGCCAAAUAAUCACGUAAAUAAAUACAUGAGUACGAUAAGGACAGGAAGACAAAGGGAAGGGAGGAGAAGAAAAGAAAAAGCCAGGAACGGCUCCACCAGGAUAGGGACCUGCCUGCUUCCUUCCCCGCUAAGGCUUCCGCGUCGAGAUCAGCACCUGGCCCCGGUUCAGGACGGACAGACCUGCGAGCGCCAACACAGCCCGUCCCCACUCCUGUGGCGACAUAGGCCACACGGCUCUGCGGCUCACUUUUCUUGCUCCCUCAGCUGGGAGACCGUGUUUUCUCCACUCACACAGAGCUGCCUCGUUCCGGUGCUGCAGAGUCGGCCACGUGGCCGCAGCCGGGGACAUCUGGCCCAAUCCCGCAGGUGGAGACACGAUGGAACUGGUCUUUCCUCAGAGGCUGCGGGCAGUGGCUGCGGGAAUAUUAUUGCACAAACCGUGAAGGGGAAUGAAGGAUAUUUUCAGUUCGGAGCUCAGAUUCCCGGAUCACAGGUCCUCCCUUCCCGUUCUGCCUGCCAGGGUGGAGCUGGGUGGAUUAGUCUGGACAUUUCAGGCCACUGGCCACUGCUCUGGAGCAGGUCCUAGAGAGCCUUCUGUCUCUGUGCCUAGCGUGGACCCUUCACUUGCCGGAGCACAGAGUGGCCCAGGGUCUGGGGACUGACCCCAGAGUGGCCAGCGAGGCAGGCUCGUCACUCUGAGGCUCAAAGCAUAGGACACCAUCUGUGCCUGCUCGUGGGUAAGAGUUCAAGCCUCUGCACCAGCGUUACUGUGCGCCCUGCAGACAAUCUAACUCCGUGGGGAAAUGGAGGCUCAGAUGCUUUCCCAGGGAAGACGCUAGCUUGAUUCCAGAGGACGCAGGCUGGUGGCAGUGAAGCCAAGCCCAGGGAAAG